AAUUUAAUGUGAGAAUAACUAAUAUUUGAAACUCCUUUUCAAAUGACUAAAUGAAUGGUACGUUAUUAAGAAGAAUCUUUAAGAAGUAAUUCUUUUUAUGCAGAGUCCUUGUAUUUUUUCUUCUAAAUUUUAAAGAAUAUCACAAGUUGUGAACAAGAAUUCGUGGUGCCUUGGCCCUCGUUCUCUCAUCUCCAUGCCAGAUGGCCUUUAAGAAGGAUCAUAAAUAGUUUAUCUGUUUGCUAUCUUGGACGGCAACUCGUGUCCUUAAAAGUAAUCACGACAGGCACAUUGCGAUACAGGAUUGUGGAGACAAACAUUGUGGUUCCAGCUAUUAUCCUUAGACAUUUGCAGCUUCUGAGCACUGAGAAAAGAUUGUUGCUGAUGUAGAGUUUUUUAUCGUUGGACCCCACAGUCCAAGACAGAAAUAAAUAGGACAAAAACUUCCAUCUGCAUUACUAACAAAAGAAAAGGCACAUUUUUAGAUUGGCUUAAUUGAUCUACUUUUUUUCUGUCUGGGGUCACAAGUGUCAUGAAGCUGGCCACACCUCGAAAGGCUGCCUGAAUCUAUUCAGUGAAUUGACAGAAAGUUGGAAAGCAGCAUCAGCAAUACAUUCCGGAAGCUGUGACAUGCAUUGAAAAGGAACUGUUUAAGGGCAUGGCGGCGGAGUGAAUGUUUCCCCAAGAAAACAUUGUUAACAUUCACCACCACCAGAAACUUUAAUUUGAGAAUACCUAAUAUUUGAAACUCCUUUUCAAAUUACUAAAUGAAUGAGAAUAUCACAAGUUGUGAACAAGACAUUGUGGUGCCUUGGUCCUCGUUCUCUUAUCUCCAUGCCAGAUGGCCAUUAAGAAAGAUCAUAAAUUUUCAUCUUAUACCAUGAACGCAAGAAAAGUUUAUCUGCUUGCUAUCAUUGACGUGUCAUGAAGCUGGCCACACCUCGAAAGGCUGCCCGAAUCUAUUCAAUGAAUUGAAGGAAGAUGGAAAGCCAAGGCAUCGUCUGUGGGGAACGACUUCAGUUGCAGUUAUUCCUAAUACUUAAUUAGUUAAGAUAUUGCCGGCGUCAACUAUGUCGUAAAUUAUGACUUACCAACUUAUAUUGAAGAAUGAAGAGUAUGAUCAUCGUGUUGGUCGAACGAGCGGCGUGGGAAAUGUCGAUGACGAAGAAAGAGAUGGACCUAACGCUGGAGAGUGUGUUUGUUUACUAAGCCCAAGGCCGAUGUACCGUCAUUCAUGCAAGCGAUGGUCCCAGGCCUGAGUUACGACUUUAGCGCCCCUUCGACUCAAGG